GACGAACGCUGGCGGCGUGCUUAACACAUGCAAGUCGAACGGAAAAGCCCUGCUUUUGUGGGGUUCUCGAGUGGCGAACGGGUGAGUAACACGUGAGUAACCUGCCCUUGACUUUGGGAUAACUUCAGGAAACUGGGGCUACUACCGGAUAGGAGCUCCUGCUGCAUGGUGGGGUUUGGAAAGUUUCGGCGGUUGGGGAUGGACUCGCGGCUUAUCAGCUUGUUGGUGGGGUAGUGGCUUACCAAGGCUUUGACGGGUAGCCGGCCUGAGAGGGUGACCGGCCACAUUGGGACUGAGAUACGGCCCAGACUCCUACGGGAGGCAGCAGUGGGGAAUAUUGCACAAUGGGCGGAAGCCUGAUGCAGCAACGCCGCGUGCGGGAUGACGGCCUUCGGGUUGUAAACCGCUUUCGCCUGUGACGAAGCGUGAGUGACGGUAAUGGGUAAAGAAGCACCGGCUAACUACGUG
rnacentral:rRNA from 1 species